AUGGAAUUCCCGGGGGGGGCCGGGAUGGGCAGAGCCGCUCCAGGCCCCGGGAAUUCGCUAUUCCUUCUUUUCAGCCCGCCCUCAUUUGGCAACAAAAAUGGGGAAAAAUCCCACGUUUUUAACACUGAAACUUUUCCUGGGAAAGCUCCCCGCGGUGUCCCGGAAUUCCAGGGCUCGGGAAUGUCCCGCCCAUCCCAGCAGAGCAGGGAAAACGGGAUCGUUUCCCAAUCAUUUCCCUCCCUGUCCCCCCAGCAAAGCUUUUUCUGGAGAGUUCCAUCCCAAAUCCCCCUCAUCCCAUCCCGCUCCAAGCUCCAUCCCGCCGGGAAUCGCUCCCGAGUCCGGCCCGGGAUUCCUUCUCCAGGAGGGAAUUCCCUCUGUCCUGAAACUCUCGGACAAUUCCAGCCUUAUUUUUCUACUCCAGAUCUGAUUCUUCCUCUUUGUUCGAGACCAGAGCUUGGUGCUAUCCCGGAGCCGGGAAUUCUUCCUCUUCCUCCUCCUCCUCCUCCUCCUCAGGGGCUCCAACCCCAACCCCCGUCCCGGGAGAAUCCCACGGGAUGGGGAUCCCAAGGAAUUCUCGCUCAGAGGCUUCGGGGUCCCUCUGCCUCCCCCAUCCCGGGAUCCUGCCCGAGCCAAAGGAGCCGGGAGAAGGGAAAAGGAGCCGGGAAAAGGGGAUGGGAGAGGGGAAAUGGGAUGGGAAAAGGGGAAAUGGGGAUGGGAGCCGGGAAAAGGGAAUGGGAGAGGGGAAAUGGGAUGGGAGAGGGGAAAUGGGAUGGGAAAAGGGGAAAUGGGGAUGGGAGAGGGGAAAUGGGGAUGGGAAAAGGGGAUGGGAGAAGGGAAAAAGGGGAUGGGAGAAGGGAAAAAGGGGAUGGGAGAAGGGAAAAGGAGCCGGGAAAACGGGAUGGGAGAAGGGAAAAGGGGAUGGGAGAAGGAAAAAGGAGCCAGGAAAUGGGAAAAGGAGCCGGGAAAAGGGGAUGGGAGAAGGGAAAAUGGGAUGGGAGAAGGAAAAAAGGGAGCCAGGAAAAGAUGUUUGGAAAAAGAAAAAGGGGAUGGGAAAAAGGAAAAGGGAGCCAGGAAAAAGGAAAAGGGGAUGGGAAAAAGGAAAAGGGGAUGGGAAAAAGGAAAAGGGGAUGGGAAAAAGGAAAAGGGGAUGGGAAGAGGGGCAAGGAACCAGGAAAAAAUGAUUGGAAAAAGGAAAAGGGGCCGGGAAAUGGGAUUGGAAAAAGGAGCAGGGAGAAGGGAAAAGGGGUUGGGAGAAGGGAAAAUGAACCAGGAGAAGGGACAGGGAGAUGGGAAAAGGAGCAGGGGCAAGGAACCAGGAAAAAAGGUUUGGAAAAGGGAAAAGGGGGAAAGGAAAAGGGGCCAGGAAAUGGAAAAAAAGGCAGGGAAAAGGAGCUGGAAAAGGGAAAAGGGGAUGGGAGAAGGAGCAGGGAGAGGGGGCAGAAAGGCCAUGGAGCAUCUCCCACGGGAUCCCGGAAUUCCGAGGGUCCCACAGGGAGACCAGGAAUGAAAAAAAACCACAAAAAUUCCUUAAUUUUAGAUUUAUUUUUUUCCUUUUUUUUUUUUUUCCCUCCCCCCUGGAAUUUUUCUCCUCGUCCGUGGGUGUUUUUGUACGGCAGAAAUCCCGAUUCCCGGGGAGCUGCUCGUGUUUGCCAAAUAAAUUUAUUUUAA
ensembl:lncRNA